GAUGAGCCCUUCGGGGUGGAUUAGUGGCGAACGGGUGAGUAACACGUGGGCAAUCUGCCCUUCACUCUGGGACAAGCCCUGGAAACGGGGUCUAAUACCGGAUAACACUCUUAGAGGCAUCUGGGGGGGUUGAAAGCUCCGGCGGUGAAGGAUGAGCCCGCGGCCUAUCAGCUUGUUGGUGAGGUAGAAGCUCACCAAGGCGACGACGGGUAGCCGGCCUGAGAGGGCGACCGGCCACACUGGGACUGAGACACGGCCCAGACUCCUACGGGAGGCAGCAGUGGGGAAUAUUGCACAAUGGGCGAAAGCCUGAUGCAGCGACGCCGCGUGAGGGAUGACGGCCUUCGGGUUGUAAACCUCUUUCAGCAGGGAAGAAGCGAAAGUGACGGUACCUGCAGAAGAAGCGCCGGCUAACUACGUGCCAGCAGCCGCGGUAAUACGUAGGGCGCAAGCGUUGUCCGGAAUUAUUGGGCGUAAAGAGCUCGUAGGCGGUCUGUCACGUCGGAUGUGAAAGCCCGGGGCUUAACCCCGGGUCUGCAUUCGAUACGGGCAGACUAGAGUGUGGUAGGGGAGAUCGGAAUUCCUGGUGUAGCGGUGAAAUGCGCAGAUAUCAGGAGGAACACCGGUGGCGAAGGCGGAUCUCUGGGCCAUUACUGACGCUGAGGAGCGAAAGCGUGGGGAGCGAACAGGAUUAGAUACCCUGGUAG
rnacentral:rRNA from 1 species